GAUGAACGCUGGCGGCGUGCUUAACACUUGCAAGUCGAACGGAAAGGCCCAAGCUUGCUUGGGUACUCGAGUGGCGAACGGGUGAGUAACACGUGGGUGAUCUGCCCUGCACUUCGGGAUAAGCCUGGGAAACUGGGUCUAAUACCGGAUAGGACCACAUUUUGGAUGGUGUGGUGGAAAGUUUUUCGGUGUGGGAUGAGCUCGCGGCCUAUCAGCUUGUUGGUGGGGUAAUGGCCUACCAAGGCGUCGACGGGUAGCCGGCCUGAGAGGGUGUACGGCCACAUUGGGACUGAGAUACGGCCCAGACUCCUACGGGAGGCAGCAGUGGGGAAUAUUGCACAAUGGGCGCAAGCCUGAUGCAGCGACGCCGCGUGGGGGAUGACGGCCUUCGGGUUGUAAACUCCUUUCGCUAGGGACGAAGCGUUAUGUGACGGUACCUGGAGAAGAAGCACCGGCUAACUACGUG
rnacentral:rRNA from 1 species